UACGUAGGGUCCAAGCGUUAUCCGGAAUCACUGGGCGUAAAGCGUGCGUAGGUGGAUUGUUAAGUGCGGUGCGAAAUCCUGUGGCUCAACCAUAUGGACUGUAUCGCAUACUGGCAAUCUAGAGGACAUGAGAGGCAAGUGGAAUUACUGGUGUAGCAGUGAAAUGCGUAGAGAUCAGUAGGAACACCAAUGGCGAAGGCAGCUUGCUGGCAUGUAUCUGACGCUAAGGCACGAAAGCGUGGGGAGCGAACAGG
rnacentral:rRNA from 1 species